AAAUACUAAAUAUAAAUAUACUAAAAUUGGAAUGUAACAGAGAUUAGCAUGGCCCCUAGGCAAGGAUGACAUGCAAAUUAGGCAUACGUCCCAUAUUAAA
rnacentral:snRNA from 1 species